UACGGAGGAUGCGAGCGUUAUCCGGAUUUAUUGGGUUUAAAGGGUGCGUAGGCGGGCUUUUAAGUCAGCGGUAAAAAUUCGGGGCUCAACCCCGUCCGGCCGUUGAAACUGGGGGUCUUGAGUGGGCGAGAAGAAGGCGGAAUGCGUGGUGUAGCGGUGAAAUGCAUAGAUAUCACGCAGAACCCCGAUUGCGAAGGCAGCCUACCGGCGCCCUACUGACGCUGAGGCACGAAAGUGCGGGGAUCGAACAGG
rnacentral:rRNA from 1 species